rnacentral:tRNA from 1 species
GCCAGGAUGGUCUAAUCGGUUAAGGCGUCGCCCCGGUCAGCGAAGGUUGCGGGUUCAAUCCCCGCUCCUGGCC